rnacentral:rRNA from 1 species
GCUACGGGGGGCUGCAGUGGGGAAUUUUGGACAAUGGGGGCAACCCUGAUCCAGCCAUUCCGCGUGAGUGAAGAAGGCCUUCGGGUUGUAAAGCUCUUUCGGCCGGGAAGAAAUCGCAUCUCCUAAUACGGGGUGUGGAUGACGGUACCGGAAGAAGAAGCACCGGCUAACUACGUGCCAGCAGCCGCGGUAAUACGUAGGGUGUGAGCGUUAACAGGAAUUACUGGGCGUAAAGCGUGCGCAGGCGGCAAUUCCCCGGGCUUAACCUGGGAACUGCGUUUGUGACUGGUGGGCUUGAGUGCGGCAGAGGGGUGUGGAAUUCCACGUGUAGCAGUGAAAUGCGUAGAGAUGUGGAGGAACACCGAUGGCGAAGGCAGCCCCCUGGGUCGACACUGACGCUCAUGCACGAAAGCGUGGGGAGCAAACAGGAUUAGAUACCCCAGUAGUC